UCUCCGUUGGUGAACCAGCGAGGGAUCAUUACCGAGUUUACAACUCCCAAACCCCUGUGAACAUACCAUUUGUUGCCUCGGCGGUGCCUGCUUCGGCAGCCCGCCAGAGGACCCAAACCCUUGAUUUUAUACAGUAUCUUCUGAGUAAAUGAUUAAAUAAAUCAAAACUUUCAACAACGGAUCUCUUGGUUCUG
rnacentral:misc_RNA from 1 species